UACGAAGGGGACAAGCGUUGUUCGGAAUCAUUGGGCGUAAAGCGCACGUAGGCGGGCUUGUAAGUCGAUUGUGAAAACCCUGGGCUUAACCUGGGACCUGCAGUCGAAACUACAAGUCUUGAAUGCUCGAGAGGAUGGUGGAAUUCCAGGAGUAGAAGUGAAAUUCGUAGAUAUCUGGAGGAACACCGGAGGCGAAAGCGGCCAUCUGGCGAGACAUUGACGCUAAGAUGCGAAAGCGUGGGGAGCAAACAGG
rnacentral:rRNA from 1 species